rnacentral:tRNA from 1 species
GGGGCCAUAGCUCAGCUGGGAGAGCGCCUGCUUUGCAAGCAGGAGGUCGGGGGUUCGAUCCCCCCUGGCUCCA